AUACGUAGGGGGCGAGCGUUGUCCGGAAUGAUUGGGCGUAAAGGGCGCGUAGGCGGCUUUGCAAGUCAGUAGUGGAAGUCCAUUUUUCAAGGAUGGAAGUGCUACAGAAACUGCGGAGCUUGAGUGAAGGAGAGGUUAUCGGAAUUCCCGGUGUAGCGGUGAAAUGCGCAGAGAUCGGGAGGAACACCAGUGGCUAAGGCGGGAAACUGGUCUGCAACUUACGCUGAGGCGCGAAAGUGUUGGGAGCAAACAUGAUUAGAUACCCUGGUAGUCCACACUGUAAACGAUGAAUGCUAGGUGUAGGAGGUAUCGACCCCUUCUGUGCCUCAGUAAACACAGUAAGCAUUCCGCCUGGGGAGUACGGUCGCAAGAUUAAAACUCAAAUGAAUUGGCGGGG
rnacentral:rRNA from 1 species